GCACGUUGAGAGGAGCGCACGUUGAGAGGAGCGCACCGGAGAAAGAACACACGAGCUGCUGGACAGUGAGAGGAACACACUGGCAGAAGAGCACACAGGCAGCUGGAUGUCGAGAGGAGCGGAAGAGCACAGCGACAGGCACUGGUGUCGACCAGCGGAACGACGUGGAGUUUGGCCUGGGAGGUCAGAGAAGAAUUUGGCUGCUGGGCAGCCCCACUAUAGGGGAAAACCACCUUCCCACUCCAUUCCCCUUCUGAUCUCCCCAUCCACCUCGCUGAGAGCUACCACAACUCAAUAAAAAACCUAGCACUCGAUCUCCAAGCCCACAUGUGAUCCAAUUUUUCCCGUGCACUAAAGCAAGAACCUGGGAUACAGAAAGCCGUCUAUCCUUGUGAUAAGGCAGAGGGUCUAAUUGAGCUGAUUAACACAAGCCACCUGCGGACAGCUAAGCUGAAAUAGCAUCCUGUAACACACGCCCACUGGGGCCUCAGGAGGUGUAAACAUUCACCCCGAGAGGCUGCAUGGGUCCGCGCCCAUGGUCCCCAUGACUUGCCUGUUUGCCUGCUCUGGCUAAGGGUCUUGACCAGUGGGGCACUGAAGAAGCGAGCCACACCCUCAUCGUACGCCCUGCGAGGAGGGGUCUCACUCAGUGACCCAGGCUGAAUGCAGUGGAACAAUCAUGGCUUACUGUAGCCUUGACCUUGAGGGCUUAAGCAAUCCUGCCACCUCAGCCUGCCUAGUACUGGGACUACAGGUACGCGCCACCACGCCCAGAAAUUGCCACAGUCACCUCAACCUUCAGCAACCACCAACUUGAUCAAUCAGCAGCCAAUAACGUGAAGUCAUGACCACUCACCAGCAAAAAGUUUAUGAUUCACCAAAAUAUCAGAUGAUCAUUAACAUUUUUAGCAAUAAUGUAUUUGUCAUUAAGGUGUUAGUGCAUUGGAAAAUCAUUUAAAGAAUGUAUCAGCUAAUUGAAGGCUUAUGUGAUCAUUCAAAGAUAAGCUACCUGAUGAAAAAAUAAAGGUUAAUGAAAUUCAACAACAAAAUUAAUGCUGCAAACAUCUCUCUUCUAUUUUAGACAUUCUUCUAACUGCUGGAACUAAUAAGAUAUGAAUGAUGAAGCUUAUAUUCUUCUAGGAAUGAUAUAUACUUCACACAAAUAUAAAUAAAAAGCCUAGAUAAUUACAAAUAAGUUAUAUGAAUGAAGUUGACAGUAACUGAAAGAAGUCCGUUUAAAUAUGGUUGUCGGAAAGCCUCUACAGAAGGUGCCAUCUAAACCCAGAUCCAAGGGAUACCGGUAGACUAGCUGUACUAAGAACCAUGGAGAGAGCGUUCUAGAGUGUACAUGUUCAGAGGCCGAAUAGAAUGAAUGAGUUAGACACAUCUGGGAAACGAAAAGGAAGCCAAUGUGAUGGAAAACAAGAACCGUUACUGUAGGCCAUGAAAACAUUUUCUCUUUCUCUCCCUCUUUCUGUUUUUUGUUUGUUUGUUUGUUUGUUUUGGUUUGGUUUGGUUUGGUUUUUUUUUUUGAGACAGAGUCUCGCUGUGUUGCCCAGGCUGGAGUGCAGUGGCGCGAUCUGGGCUCACUGCAAGCUCCGCCUCCCGGGUUCACGCCAGUCUCCUGCCUCAGCCUCCCGAGUAGCUGGGACUACAGGCGCCGCCACCACGCCCGGAUAAUUUUUGUAUUUUUAGUAGAGACGGGGUUUCACCAUGUUGGCCAGGCUUGUGUGGAACCCUGACUUCAGGUGAUCCGUCCGCCUCGGCCUCCCAAAGUGCUGGGACUACAGGCGCCCGCCACCACGCCCGGCUAAUUUUUUUGUAUUUUUAGUAGAGACGGGGUUUCACCAUGUUAGCCAGGAUGGUCUCGAUCUCCUGACCUUGUGAUCCGCCCGUCUCGGCUUCCCAAAGUGCUGGGAUUACAGGCAUGAGCCAUCGUGCCAAGACUCUUUCUCUCUUUUUUUUCCCCUUUCUUCCCUAAGCACAGUGGUAGCCAUUAGAGCAUCUGAGAAGGGAUGUGGGCAAGCCUGGUUUUAAUUCUAAAGUUCCCUUCGGUUAAUUUGUGACAAACUAGAUUGUGAAUGUGUUUCCGUGUAUCGUGGGAAGGAGAAUAUAGAGGUGGGAGUGAAUAGCAAAAAUACACAUAAGAAGACUCUUGAUGAAGUUUUUUGGAUUAUCUGUAAAUAUACACUAUCACAACACUGAAAAUUUAUGCUGAAACUUUCAUUCCAAUCUAUUUUAUUUUUAUUUUUUUUUCUUUUUUUUUCCACUUCAAAUGAAUGAGCCUAUUGUGAAUUCUUUUGAAAGGCUUUGUAUUUUUGUCUCUGUGAUACUUCGUGGCUUCAUAUUUGUUUACUUUUACUAUUUGGUUGUUUAGUUAUAUGUAUUUUGUUCCACUAAAAUGUCCCAUUCCGAACAGGUAUGCCUUCUGAACAAUUAAUGCAGUGCACCUAAUGUACAUCAAUCAAAUUGCUAACCGAUGAUGUUUCUCAAGGGUAUUUGUUCCUUGGUAGUUGUCAGAAAUAUAAAUGGUAUAUUUCAGUAUAUAUCACAGUAUACAUUUUCUCAUGUAAUCCCCACAAUAACUCAGCAAAGUGUGGCUUAUUAUCACCUCAACAGAAGAGUCAGAAAGUUUAAGCUACUGCAUCUGGGUAACUAUGCAAAGCCGUAGAGAAGAGUGGAAAAGACACACAAUUCAGAUUUGAAAUAUUUUUUUUCAGUUCUUUGCUGUUCACUUUAUUACAUCAACAUACAAAUAAUAAUAUAUAAAUGGAUUUGUCUUACAAUUGUAUUUUCAGGUUAUAUAUUUAGAACCUGCUCAUUAAUGUUUGUAUUCAUGUGAAAUAAAUUUUGAAACCAUAG